rnacentral:tRNA from 2 species
ACCAGGAUGGCCGAGUGGUUAAGGCGUUGGACUUAAGUUCCAAUGUACGAAUGUACGCGUGGGUUCAAACCCCACUCCUGGUA